GACGGAGGAUGCAAGUGUUAUCCGGAAUCACUGGGCGUAAAGCGUCUGUAGGUGGUUUAAUAAGUCAACUGUUAAAUCUUGAGGCUCAACCUCAAAAUCGCAGUCGAAACUAUUAGGCUAGAGUAUAGUAGGGGUAAAGGGAAUUUCCAGUGGAGCGGUGAAAUGCGUAGAGAUUGGAAAGAACACCGACGGCGAAGGCACUUUACUGGGCUAUUACUAACACUCAGAGACGAAAGCUAGGGUAGCAAAUGGG
rnacentral:rRNA from 1 species